UGGAUCCAGUGGAUGGGAUGCUGGGAUAUUCACGUUCGAUAAUGCAUAGCACCACGGGAUUCAGCCGC
rnacentral:pre_miRNA from 1 species